rnacentral:rRNA from 1 species
UAAUAUAAAUAGCCGCAGAAUAUUAACUGUGCUAAGGUAGCAUAAUCAUUUACCUUUUAAUUAAAGGCCUGUAUGAACGAUCUAACAUUUAAAUUACUUUUUUUCUAACACAAACUAAACUUAAACUAAACAUAAAAAUGUUUUUAUAAAAUAAAAAGACGACCAGACCCUAUUGAACUUUACUAAAGUUAAGCUGGGGAAGCUAAUUAAAAACAAUUUUAAUUUUUAAUCUUUUAAAAAUUUCUAGGGUACCUAAUAUAAACAAGUUACCAUAGGGAUAACAGCGUAAUAAUUCUUUAAAGCUCUUAUUAAAAGAAAAGUUUACGACCUCGAUGUUGAAUUAGAAUUACUUUAAACCGCAAUAGUCUUAACAGUAGGUCUGUUCGACCUUUAAAUUUCUACA